rnacentral:rRNA from 1 species
AGUGAACGCUGGCGGCAGGCCUAACACAUGCAAGUCGAGCGAGGGGCGGACGGGUGUGGAAUAUAUCGGAAUCUCCUCUGUCGGGGGGGAUAAAGUAGGGAAACUAACGCUAAUACCGCAUACGAUGGUAUGCGCCGAUGUUGGAUUAGCUAGUUGGCGGGGUAAAGGCACACCUAGGCGACGCUCCCUAGCUGGUCUGAGAGGAUGACCAGCCACACUGGAACUGAGACACGGUCCAGACUCCUACGGGAGGCAGCAGUGGGGAAUAUUGCACAAUGGGCGCAAGCCUGAUCCAGCCAUACCGCGUGGGUGAAGAAGGCCUUCGGGUUGUAAAGCCCUUUUGUUGGGGAGGCGGUACCCACAGAAUAAGCACCGGCUAACUUCGUGCCAGCAGCCGCGGUAAUAC